rnacentral:lncRNA from 1 species
GAAUGUGAUAGGAUUUGAAGUGUGUGAUCAAUAGCAAUUGAAGUCCAGUCUAUGAUAAAGAACAUGAUCAAAUGAUUAAAAAAAGAUGCAAGUGGUUGGUUUUCAUGAAACCAGUGGAGUCACGCUUGCAUAUGCAUUCAAUCAAAGGCCGAGAUGUGCAUUUGAUUAAAAUUGUCAUGAUUUUAAACGGAUAUAAGAAUCUACAGUAUAACACAGGAAUUCAAACUCACCAAUAAUAGCCUUUCAUCUGUAUCCUCAGAUUAGUAUGCAAAGUAUAUCGGGAUACAUAAAAAUAGCAGUCGUAUUAUCAUGCCUGACCAGCAAUACAAUACACAUGUGUGUAUAUCUGCUUUCAAAUGUAAAUGUAUGCGUGACUUUGUAUGAGACUGAGAGAGACCUGUUAUGUAUUUUCAGCUUUUAUGCAUGUGUAUGCAAUUAUAGAUAUACAAUGCAUGGUACGUGUUUGAUGGAAUGCCUAAUAGUUUGAGAAUUAUGUGAACUCUGAAUUGUUAAGAACUUGAAUUCAUGUCUUUUAAAUGUGUGUAUUAGUCCCUGUUUUUGUUUAGUAAGUGCAUGCUUAAUGUCAUCCUUAUAUGUUUACAUGGUGAACUAAUGUUGCAUACCUAGCGUUUUAGGAAUUUUAUUUCGGUAGUGAAUCGAUUCAAUUUUGUUCAAGGCAACACUCUAAAGUUGUAGUUUCAAUUCUUUUGUUGUUUUGCAGUAUGAACCAUGAGGUAAAGCGAUGAUAUACUCAGUGUUCAAUAUUUUGGAGUCAUUGCAUUCACAAUACAAAUAUAUUUACGCCGUACAGAAUUCCAGAAUAAUCACAUGAAGGUCAGAAGACAGUAUCUUUUUCUGUAUUGUUUUCUUGUUUACAUAUUUUUGAUUCUUUUACCAAGUGAAGUUUUUUAAAAAGAAGCUUGUUGUUUGGUGAAAUUAUUAGUUAUUAGAUUCAACUUGGGAGACAGAGUUCAUACUUAAAGCAAUAUCAAGUUAUUAAUCCGUGUAACUCUAUUUAUAGUACUUUCUAUCACUUAUUAGAUUUGCUGGGCACUAGCAUAACUAUUUAAGAUUAAAUUUUUGUAAAUUUUGUUCCUAUGGAGUUGAAAUGACACUAUGCAUCAAUCUCGAAGUUGAAGUUAGCAGCGGCUCUUGCCCGCAUUGCAUGAUGCAUGUGUAUGAUCUAUCUAAAUUUUAGAUUUUAAAAAACAAAAGUUCCAUAUUUACAUUGUAAUUAAUAGAUAAGAAAAUUUAUAUAGGACAUCGAAACUAUUUGUAUAAAGCAAGCCUUAAGUAUAGAAAAAUAAUUAAAUAAACAAGUCUAUCAUAUACAGAAAAGAAAAUAAUCAUGCAAGUCAAGGAACAAGAAAAUUUAUUUAAAUAAAAUAAUUCUUUUAUUUAUAGAAAGAAAAUUGUUAGAUAUGUCAAGGGAUGAUAAAACUUAUACGAAAUAAUUUGUACAAGGAAAAUCUUACGUUGAAAAUUAAUUAAUAUAAGCAGUCUAUUAUUUGUAAAAAAAAUGAUUAUAUGAGUAAAAGAAAAGAAGUAAUUACAAAAUAAAGCCUUGUUCAAUAUCUACAAAUAAAUAAAAAUCAGGAAGGCUUUCUAAGAACGUUUCAUGAAUCUUGUUAAAUAAGUAAUAUAUGACUGUCAACAAGGCACAAAGACAUUUACACUAUUGUCGAGGUAGAAGAGUGGUUAUGGUAAAUUGGUUUGAUGAUGACAGAUUCGGGCUGCUUAAUGAAUAGUCUGCUUCAAGCAAAUAUCUCUCCAUGAAAAACCCAGGUUGUUUAGGAUGAGGGAGUUUCAUGUUACUACUCAACAUUAAAACCACCUGGGACAUAACUGGCCUGUCCUUUGGAUCAUUCUGAACGCACAAUAAUCCGAUUUGGAUAACUCGGAAAACUUCAAUAUGGUUACUUGAAUCCAAGAUUACCCCAUCGAUUAGUUGUAAAAGUUUGUCUCCUUUGUAACUUAGCCAUGCCUAAAUAUUUAAUUACAAAAAUAUCAGUAGUAGACUAUUGGAUAAGCAUUAUAGUAUAAAAAAGUGUCAUGAUAAUUUGUACUUACAUGUCCUAAAAGGUUUAAGCUGUGGUCAGGAUGAGUGAAUAAUCUGUUUUUCACUCCGCAAACUAUCUCUAUCAGUAAAACACCAAAACUGUAUAUGUCAGAUUUAACAGAGAAUUGUCCGUCAAUAGCAUAUUCGGGGGACAUGUAGCCACUGCAGGAAAUAUAUAAGUAUGAGAUAUCAAUUGACAGUUGUGAUGCAGAUAUAACACUUAUCUGCCGAGUCGUAGAAAUUCUUACUAUGUGCCGACAACUCUAGAUGUAUUUGCUUCAGUUUCAUUUCCUCCAAAAAUUCUUGCCAUGCCAAAAUCUGAAAUUUUUGGAUUCAUCUCAUGAUCAAGUAGAAUGUUACUUGCUUUGAGAUCUCUAUGUAUGAUUCUUAGCUUUGAAUCUUGAUGAAGAUAAAGGAGGCCCCUAGCAAUGCCGCUUAUUAUGCUGUAACGUUUCGGCCAGUCCAUUGUGUUUUUUACCUUUUCAUCUGUUCGUUUUUCAUUAAAUUAGUCCACAGUUGUCAUACAAAAAAAUAUUCGAAAUUUGAAUUUAAAUACAAUGUGAAAUGUUUAGAUCAGGCCUUACCAAAAAUGAUUAGAUCAAGACUUUUGUUAGCCAUGUACUCGUAGAUCAAUAUUCUUUCUCCUUUCUCUAUGCAGCAACCAAGAAGCGUUACAAGAUUUCUGUGCUGAAGUUUGGCGAUACAUGAAACUUCAUUUUUAAACUCAUCUAGUCCUUGACUUGAAUUUUUUGAAAGCCUUUUCACAGCCAAUUCUCUCCCAUCAUCCAAUAUGCCCUGAAAAUUAUCGUUGUUAUGUUUCAAUUUUCAUAGUGUUAUGCUUUUAGUUCAUUGCUGUAGUGACAAAAUAGUUGCAAAUGAUCUGUUGGGAACAAUAUGGUAAAGAACUAAAUACAACGUUAUAUUGAGUUAUUGCAUGAAUUUUUCAAAUCUGCAGAUGUUUUAUAUUACUGUGAGUCAUGGUUAUGUAAUGCAUAUCUGGCGUAUCAGUAUUAUCACCUUGUAGACAGGUCCAAAGCCACCUUCUCCAAGUUUUUUGUCACGACAGAAGUUACUUGUUGCAUUUGCAAUUCUUUUGAAGUCAAAUAAUG